rnacentral:rRNA from 1 species
CGGGUGAGUAACACGUGGAUAACCUACCUAUAAGACUGGGAUAACUUCGGGAAACCGGAGCUAAUACCGGAUAAUAUUUUGAACCGCAUGGUUCAAAAGUGAAAGACGGUCUUGCUGUCACUUAUAGAUGGAUCCGCGCUGCAUUAGCUAGUUGGUAAGGUAACGGCUUACCAAGGCAACGAUGCAUUGCCGACCUGAGAGGGUGAUCGGCCACACUGGAACUGAGACACGGUCCAG